UUGGCCUUGGCAACAGGCAAUAUGAACAUUUCAACAAGGUCUGGAUUUCAUUUCAUUUCAUGUUUUGGUCUGUUCAUGUUUUGGUCUGUUCAUUGGAUUUAAUUUAUUUGUUUGUUCUAGAUUUCAUUUCAUUUCGUUUCAUGGCUUAAUAUUUCAACUUCGACUUUCUCUUCUCAAGACUACACAGGGGCAUCCUAUGGGGACACAUUCCUUAUCGGGAUAGUAAGCUCACUCACAUACUUCAACCUGCUCUUGGUGGCAAUGCCAAAACUUCUAUAAUUUGCACUUUAGCACCCGAAGAGAUUCACAUAGAGGAAACGAAAGGAACCCUCCAGUUUGCUAGCAGAGCCAAGAGAAUAACAAAUUGUGUUCAAGUGAAUGAGAUUUUGACAGAUGCUGCCUUACUGAAGCGACAAAAACUAGAGAUAGAGGAAAUUACACAAAGCAUGAGAUCAAUGCAUUAGGGAACAACAAAUGAAAAUUGACAAUCUUAAUAGUCUUGUCACCGUUUCGGAUUCCGAUAAAAAGUCU